ensembl:misc_RNA 7SK 7SK RNA
GGAUAUGAGGGUGAUCUGGCUGUAACAUCUGUCAUGCCGUCAAUCACCAGGGUUGAUUAGGCUGAUCUGGCUAGCUAGGUGGGUGUCUCCGUCCUCGCUCACCACUCUGUGUGCAUCCCUCUCGAAGAUGUGCACUCAGUCCAAGAUGAUGACUAUCCCUGAUAGAGGAGGACCAUUUCCUCGGUCAAGAGUAUAUAAAUAGCUGUGCUGCCCUGCUAGACCUCCAAUCAAGCUCUCAUGUUUUGCUUAUGCUUGCAAAUCAAACAAGGUUUAGGUCACUUAAGAAGUCUAGCUGUUUUU